GGAGAGAUGGCUCAGUGGUUAAGAGCACUGACUGCUUUUCUAGAGGUCCUGAGUUCAAUUCCCAGCAACCACA
rnacentral:tRNA from 1 species